rnacentral:precursor_RNA from 1 species
UUUGUGACCGUCACUAACGGGCAGUACCUCUAUUUGCUCGUUUUGACGAUCGCAAAAUG